AGUCGAAAAGCACACGCAUAAAUUACUCUUGCGGAGUUCCAAGAACUCUUUCUUCCUCCUUGGUCAGCUACCAGUAGUUAGAACUCGCUUUCAAUAGUUUCAAUAAUGCUAGCUGCGAAAGAGUCCUUUUCUCUGUUUGGUGCCUUUGUUCAAAGAUCAUCUUGUAGAUUCAGAUAUUCAUUUUGAGAUUUUCUUGUUCUCAAGGCCGGCUUUGAUUCAUUUUGCUUUAGAAAACGAAUCUGUUGGCAAAUAAGGUAAAAUCACAGACUCUCUUGUGUUUUUCGUAUUCUUUACAUUUUUUCUGAUUUUAGAACAUGAGCCAGGGAGAUGAUGGAGAUUCUGUGAAGUAAAAUUAUAGCAGUACCGAAGAUCAAAAUAGUAGUGGUGGUAUUUUUUUCUUAUCUAUAUAAACGUGUGCUUAACAUGCAUAUUUCAAUAAUGCUAGCUGAGAAAGAGUCUUUUUUCUGUUUGGUGCCUUUGUUCAAAGAUCAUCUUAUAGAUUCAGAUAUCAAUUUUGGGAUCUCCUUGUUCCUAAGGCUUUGAUUCAUAUUGCUUCAGAGAACGAAUCUGUUGGCAAAUAAGGUAAAAUCACGAAUUCCCUUGUGUUUUUCGUAUUCUUUAUAUUUUUUCUAGUUUUAGAACAUGAGACAGAGAGAUGAUGUGGAUUAUGUGAAAUGAAAUCAUAGCAGUACCGAAAACCAAAAUAGUAGUGGUGGUGUUUUUUUUUCUUAUCAAAAUAAACGUGUGCUUACCACGUCUAUUUCAAUCAUGCUAGCUGAGAAAGAGUCUUUUUCUCUGUUUGGUGCCUUUGUUCAAAGAUCAUCUUGUAGAUUCAGAUAUCCAUUUUGGGAUAUCCUUGUUCCCAAGGCUUUGAUUCAUUUUGCUUCAGAGAACGAAUCUGUUGGCAAAUAAGGUAAAAUCACGGAUUUCCUUGUGUUUUUCGUAUUCUUUACAUUUUUUCUGGUUUUAAAACUUGACACAGAGAUGAUGGGGAUUCUAUGAAAUGAAAUCAUAGAAGUACCAAAGAUCAAAAUAGCAGUGGCAGUUUUUUUUCUUAUCUUUAUAAACGUGUGCUUACCAUACAUAUUUCAAUAAUGCUAGCUGAGAGAGAGUCUUUUUCUCUGUUUGGUGCUUUUGUUCAAAGAUCAUCUUGUAGAUUCUGAUAUCAAUUUUGGGAUCUCAUUGCUCCCAAGGCCUGUUUGAUUCAUUUUGCUUCAGAGAACGAAUCUGUUGGCAAAUAAGAUAAAAUCACGGAUUCCCUUGGUCUUUUCGUAUUCUUUAUAUUUUAACUGGUUUUAGAACAUGAGACAGAGAGAUGAUGGGGAUUCUGUGAAAUGAAAUCAUAGCAGUACCGAAUAUCAAAAUAGUAGUGGUGAUAUUUUUUUAUUAUCUAUAUAAAUGUAUGCUUACCAUGCAUAUUUCAAUAAUGCUAGCUGAGAAAGAGUCUUUUUUCUGUUUGGUGCUUUUGUUCAAAGAUUAUCUUGUAGAUUCAGAUAUCCAUUUUGGGAUCUCCUUGUUUCCAAGGCUUUGAUUCAAUUUGCUUCAGAGAACGAAUCUAUUGGCAAAUAAGGUAAAAUCACGGAUUCCCUUGUGUUUUUAGUAUUCUUUACAUUUUUUUUGGUUUUAGAACUUGAGACAAAGAGAUGAUGUGGAUUCUGUGAAAUAAAAUCAUAGCAGUACCAAAGAUCAAAAUAGUAGUGGUGGUAUUUUUUUCUUUUCUAUAUAAACGUGUGCUUACCACGCAUAUUUCAAUAAUGCUAGUUGAGAAAGAGUCUUUUUCUCUGUUUGGUGCAUUUGUUCAAAGAUCAUCUUAUAGAUUUAGAUAUCCAUUUUGGGAUCUCCUUAUUCCCAAGGCUUUGAUUCAUUUUACUUCAGAGAAUGAAUCUGUUGGCAAAUAAGGUAAAAUUAUGGAUUUCCUUGUAUUUUUCGUAUUCUUUACAUUUUUUCGGUAUUUAGAACUUGAGAUAGAGAGAUGAUGGGGAAUCUGUGAAAUAAAAUUAUAGCAGUACCGAAGAUCAAAAUAGUAGUGGUGGUUUUUUUCUUAUCUUUAUAAACGUGUGCUUACCAUGCAUAUUUCAAUAAUGCUAGUUGAGAAAGAGUCUUUUUCUCUAUUUGGUGCCUUUGUUCAAAGAUCAUCUUGUAGAUUCAGAUAUCCAUUUUGGGAUCUCCUUUUUCCUAAGGCUUUGAUUCACUUUGCUUGAGAGAACGAAUCUGUUGGCAAAUAAGGUAAAAUUACGGAUUCCCUUGUGUUUUUCGUAUUCUUUACAUUUUUCUGGUUUUAGAACUUGAGACAAAGAGAUGAUGUGGAUUCUGUGAAAUAAAAUCAUAGCAGUACCAAAGAUCAAAAUAGUAGUGGUGGUAUUUUUUUCUUAUCUAUAUAAAUGUGUGCUUACCAUGCAUAUUUCAAUAAUGCUAGCUGAGAAAGAAUCUUUUUUCUGUUUGGUGCUUUUGUUCAAAGAUCAUCUUAUAGAUUCAGAUAUCCAUUUUGGGAUCUCCUUGUUUUCAAGGCUUUGAUUCAUUUUGCUUCAGAGAACGAAUCUGUUGGCAAAUAAGGUAAAAUCACGGAUUCCCUUGUAUUUUUCGUAUUCUUUACAUUUUUUCUAGUUUUAGAACAUGAGACAGAGAGAUGAUAUGGAUUAUGUGAAAUGAAAUCAGAUCAGUACCGAAGAUCAAAAUAGUAGUGGUGGUAUUUUUUUUUCUUAUCAAAAUAUACGUGCGCUUACCACGCCUAUUUCAAUCAUGCUAGCUGAGAAAGAGUCUUUUUCUCUGUUUGGUACCUUUGUUCAAAGAUCAUCUUGUAGAUUCAGAUAUCCAUUUUGGGAUAUCCUUGUUCCUAAGGCUUUGAUUCAUUUUGCUUCAGAAAACGAAUCUGUUAGCAAAUAAGGUAAAAUCACGGAUUUCCUUGUGUUUUUCGUAUUCUUUAUAUUUUUCUGGUUUUAGAACUUGAGACACAGAGAUGAUGGGGAUUCUGUGAAAUGAAAUCAUAGAAGUACCAAAGAUCAAAAUAGCAGUGGUGGUUUUUUUUCUUAUCUUUAUAAACGUGUGCUUACCAUACAUAUUUUAAUAAUGCUAGCUGAGAGAGAGUCUUUUUCUCUGUUUGGUGCUUUUGUUCAAAGAUCAUCUUGUAGAUUCAGAUAUCUAUUUUGAGAUCUCAUAUCUCCCAAGGCCGGUUUGAUUCAUUUUGCUUCAGAGAACGAAUCUAUUGGCAAAUAAGAUAUCCAUUUUGGGAUCUCCUUGUUUCCAAGGCUUUGAUUCAAUUUACUUCAGAGAACGAAUCUAUUGGCAAAUAAGGUAAAAUCACGGAUUCCCUUGUGUUUUUAAUAUUCUUUACAUUUUUUUUUGGUUUUAGAACUUGAGACAAAGAGAUGAUGUGGAUUCUGUGAAAUAAAAUCAUAGCAGUACCAAAGAUCAAAAUAGUAGUGGUGGUAUUUUUUUCUUAUCUAUAUAAAUGUGUGCUUACCAUGCAUAUUUCAAUAAUGCUAGCUGAGAAAGAGUCUUUUUUCUGUUUGGUGCUUUUGUUCAAAGAUCAUCUUAUAGAUUCAGAUAUCCAUUUUGGGAUCUCCUUGUUUUCAAGGCUUUGAUUCAAUUUGCUUCAGAGAACGAAUCUAUUGGCAAAUAAGGUAAAAUCAUGGAUUCCCUUGUGUUUUUAGUAUUCUUUACAUUUUUUCUAGUUUAAAAUCAUGGAUUCCCUUGUGUUUUUAGUAUUCUUUACAUUUUUUCUAGUUUAAAAUCAUGGAUUCCCUUGUGUUUUUAGUAUUCUUUACAUUUUUUCUAGUUUUAGAACUUGAGACAAAGAGACGAUGUGGAUUCUGUGAAAUAAAAUCGUAGCAGUACCAAAGAUCAAAAUAGUAGUGGUGGUAUUUUUUCUUUUCUAUAUAAACGUGUGCUUACCACGCAUAUUUCAAUAAUGCUAGUUGAGAAAGAGUCUUUUUUUCUGUUUGGUGCAUUUGUUCAAAGAUCAUCUUAUAGAUUUAGAUAUCCAUUUUGGGAUCUCCUUGUUCCCAAGGCUUUGAUUCAUUUUACUUCAGAGAACGAAUAUGUUGGCAAAUAAGGUAAAAUCACGAAUUUUCUUGUAUUUUUCGUAUUCUUUACAUUUUUUCGGUAUUUAGAACUUGAGAUAGAGAGAUGAUGGGGAAUCUGUGAAAUAAAAUUAUAGCAGUACCGAAGAUCAAAAUAGUAGUGGUGGUUUUUUUCUUAUCUUUAUAAACGUGUGCUUACCAUGCAUAUUUCAAUAAUGCUAGUUGAGAAAGAGUCUUUUUCUCUAUUUGGUGCCUUUGUUCAAAGAUCAUCUUGUAGAUUCAGAUAUCUAUUUUGGGAUCUCCUUGUUCGUAAGGCUUUGAUUCAUUUUGCAUGAGAGAACGAAUCUAUUGGCAAAUAAGGUAAAAUCACGGAUUCCCUUGUAUUUUUUGUAUUCUUUACAUUUUUCUGGUUUUAGAACUUAAGAUAGAGAGAUAAUGUGGAUUUUGUCAAAUAAAAUCAUAGCAGUACCGAAGAUCAAAAUAAUAGUGGUGGUGUUUUUUUCUUUUCUAUAUAAACGUGUGCUUACCACGCAUAUUUCAAUUAUGCUAGUUGAGAAAGAGUCUUUUUCUCUGUUUGGUGCCUUUGUUCAAAGAUUAUCUUGUAGAUUCAGAUAUCCAUUUUGGGAUCUCAUUAUUCCCAAGGCUUUGAUUCAUUUUACUUCAGAGAACGAAUCUGUUGGCAAAUAAGGUAAAAUCACGGAUUUCCUUCUAUUUUUUCUAUUCUUUACAUUUUUUCUGGUUUUAGAACUUGAGAGAGAGAGAUGAUGGGAAAUUUGUAAAAUGAAAUCAUAGCAGUACCGAUGAUCAAAAUAGUAGUGGUAGUUUUUUUUUCUUAUCUUUAUAAACGUGUCCUUACCAUGCAUAUUUCUAUAAUGCUAGCUGAGAAAGAGUCUUUUUCUC